rnacentral:rRNA from 1 species
GACGAACGCUGGCUGCGUGCUUAACACAUGCAAGUCGAACGGAAAGGCCCUGCUUUUGUGGGGUGCUCGAGUGGCGAACGGGUGAGUAACACGUGAGUAACCUGCCCUUGACUUUGGGAUAACUUCAGGAAACUGGGGCUAAUACCGGAUAGGAGCUCCUGCUGCUUGGUGGGGGUUGGAAAGUUUCGGCGGUUGGGGAUGGACUCGCGGCUUAUCAGCUUGUUGGUGGGGUAGUGGCUUACCAAGGCUUUGACGGGUAGCCGGCCUGAGAGGGUGACCGGCCACAUUGGGACUGAGAUACGGCCCAGACUCCUACGGGAGGCAGCAGUGGGGAAUAUUGCACAAUGGGCGGAAGCCUGAUGCAGCAACGCCGCGUGCGGGACGACGGCCUUCGGGUUGUAAACCGCUUUCGCCUGUGACGAAGCGUGAGUGACGGUAAUGGGUAAAGAAGCACCGGCUAACUACGUGCCAGCAGCCGCGGUGAUACGUAGGGUGCGAGCGUUGUCCGGAUUUAUUGGGCGUAAAGGGCUCGUAGGUGGUUGAUCGCGUCGGAAGUGUAAUCUUGGGGCUUAACCCUGAGCGUGCUUUCGAUACGGGUUGACUUGAGGAAGGUAGGGGAGAAUGGAAUUCCUGGUGGAGCGGUGGAAUGCGCAGAUAUCAGGAGGAACACCAGUGGCGAAGGCGGUUCUCUGGGCCUUUCCUGACGCUGAGGAGCGAAAGCGUGGGGAGCGAACAGGCUUAGAUACCCUGGUAGUCCACGCUGUAAACGGUGGGUACUAGGUGUGGGGUCCAUUCCACGGGUUCCGUGCCGUAGCUAACGCUUUAAGUACCCCGCCUGGGGAGUACGGCCGCAAGGCUAAAACUCAAAGGAAUUGACGGGGCCCCGCACAAGCGGCGGAGCAUGCGGAUUAAUUCGAUGCAACGCGUAGAACCUUACCUGGGUUUGACAUGGAUCGGGAGUGCUCAGAGAUGGGUGUGCCUCUUUUGGGGUCGGUUCACAGGUGGUGCAUGGCUGUCGUCAGCUCGUGUCGUGAGAUGUUGGGUUAAGUCCCGCAACGAGCGCAACCCUUGUUCACUGUUGCCAGCACGUUAUGGUGGGGACUCAGUGGAGACCGCCGGGGUCAACUCGGAGGAAGGUGGGGAUGACGUCAAGUCAUCAUGCCCCUUAUGUCCAGGGCUUCACGCAUGCUACAAUGGCUGGUACAGAGAGUGGCGAGCCUGUGAGGGUGAGCGAAUCUCGGAAAGCCGGUCUCAGUUCGGAUUGGGGUCUGCAACUCGACCUCAUGAAGUCGGAGUCGCUAGUAAUCGCAGAUCAGCAACGCUGCGGUGAAUACGUUCCCGGG